AGGGGCAUAGAGAGGAAGGGAGAAAGAAAAUCCCAAGGAGGCUCUGCACUAUUAGAGGGGCUCUGCCCCCAUGAGAUGUGGGCUCUGCCCCCAUGAGAUGUGGGGCUCAAUCUCAUGAACUGUGAUAUCAUGAUCUGAGCUGAAAUCCAGAGUCCAAUGCUUAACCAACUGAGCCAUCCAGGUGCCCCUACCUAUUUCUUUCUAAUGUAUGUAUACUUUAGGUUAUAUUGUAGUAAACUAAAAAUAAUUCAAAUUUGAUUGUUUUAGGUACUUAGAGAGGAUAAUAGAUGUCCCCCUCAAAACAAAAUUAGAAAUGAUGGUUAAAUUGAAUAUUAAAACUCAAUGGAUCAAAAUAUCAAUGAUAUAUAAAACUCUAAGACUAGAAAGACCUAUUUAAAUACAUAACCAUAUCCAAAGAAAGAAGUUGUGAUCAGAAAAAGACUGAUUAGCUAUAGGAGCAGAAUCACAGAAGGAAAUACUGAUAUAAGUAGGGGGAAUUUUAGCCUACAGAACAAUUUCAACAAUUUCAAUAAUUUUCAAUAAUUUUUAUUGAGUACCUACUAGACAUCAUUUUGGAUCUGAAGACACCAUAGUGAACAGGGAAGCUAAAGCCCAUCUCCCAGACCUUACAUUCUAGAUGGAAGGGACAAACAAUAAAGAAAGAAAGGAGAAAUUCCAAUUGUUAAAAAGUUCCAUUAAGAAGACAAACCAGAGAAUAAUGUUAUGAUAAAGCAUAGUGUGGGUAGGCAGGGGAGGGAUAUUUAAAUUGGUUUGGUAUAGGUUUGGAUGAAUAUACAAAAGAUAGUAGUGGCUUAAAUGAGAUGAAGUUUCUUUUUCUCCCACUUAAAAGAGGCCUGCAAGUACACAACCCUGGGUUAUUUGAGAAAUUCAUCAGAGACUCAGGCUUUCCAGAUCUCUGCUGUACCAUCCUUAGUAAAUGCCCUUUUUCCCCAUGACCCAAAAUGACUGCUAGAGCCCAGUCACUGUAUUUGAUAUUCCAGGGAACAAGAUGGAAAGGGGGAGAAAGAAGGACAUAUCUUUUUCCUUUUAGGUACCGUUUUCAAAGCACCACAUUACACUUUGUCUUACAUUUCAUUGGCCAGAACUUAAAGUACAGCAUCCAGCUGUAAGAGAGGCUGGGUAAUAGAGCCCUUUGGCUGUGUGGCAAUGUGCCUAACAAGGGGAGAAAGGGAGAGAAGAUAUUGGAAAUCAAAGAUCUUUCUUGCUGAAAGCGGUCUGGAAAGGCCUCUCUGAGGAGCUAACAUGGCCUGAAGCCUCAAUGAUGAGAAGGAGACAGCCAUGAAAAGAUGUGGAGGUAGAACAUUUCAAUCAGAGAAAAGGACAAGAGCAAAAUCCCCAAAGUGAGAAUGAACUCUGCAUAUCUCUGGAAUCAAAAGAAAGCUAGGGCACUGAAAAAACCGAGGGAAAGGAUGCUACAACAUGAAGUCAGGAGAUUAGCAUGUUAGACCUUAUGAUGGUCACAGUGAUGAAUUCAAAUUGGGGUAUUUUCAGUCCCCUUAAAAGGGUCAUCCUCAUUGUGAUAAGGAUGAAUUUGAGACCAUCAAACAUGUGAUUAGCCCAAGACAUGUGAUUUAUCUACGCUCCAUUGUGGUGCCUACAGGCCUGCUGAGCAGUGUUCUCAUUUUACAUACUCCAUCAGUAAAGUGGCUUCUGGUUCUUGAGUCCCACUCUCCUCCCCUGACUUCCUUGGCAACUUUUCUCAGUUGUUGCAUUGGAAGGCUUGGGCUUUAAGAAGACUGUGGAAGCAUGUCAUGAACAGAAAUACAAUUCAAGGUAGUUCAAUCCUGAAUUCCCUCAAAAUAAACAAUCGGCCAAGUAAGAUAAGAUUUCACUCUCAGCAUCCAAGAAAAAUACUCAGAAAAGACUCUCUUAACCUUUGUUUGCAAUAAAAUAAACAGCUCAACAGUUUCCCUUCUGUUUCUCCCACAUUUCAUAUUGGGGUUUGUGGGGAGUGUUCACAUCUGCAGAGAGAAGAAAGGGAGCAGCUGGAGAGGCUGUCUCAUCUUCCAGCAUUUGUUCUCUAUAAGCUUUGACAAUUGGAGUCGCAGAACUUUAAGAAAGUUUAGCUGUUUAAAGAUGGAUCUAGAUUCCCAAAAGAUCAGUAGAGUUGUUAAUAAAAUAAUGCCCUAUAAGGCGAGUAUCUUAGAGGUCUUUCAUUGUCUCCACAAAUGUCACUCACUCACACACUCAAAUAUACAUACACACACACACACAUACACACAUACUUGUAUACAUUUAAAUACAUAUACAAUAACUAAACCAGGCCAAUUAAUUUGCAUAUGACAUAUUUUUAAUGCAUUUGUAGAACCUAGCUGGGCAUUCUAGAGAACAAGUUAAAGUCAAGGAUUAGUCAAACAAACAAAUAGAAUUUAAAAAAAACAUACAAGGAAAAUGAGGUCACACAGAGAACCAUGAAACAAAAAAAGAAGGUGAUGCAAUAGGAACAGUCAAACUUCAAUUAAAUGAAUGAAAAUUACAUGAUUAUUAUUCAUACGCUCUACUAUUGAACAUUUACUAUAGUCUAGGCAAUGUGCUAAACACUUAAAUUACCUUAUCUCAUUUAAAAUAAUAAUGUCAAGAGACAGGUACUGUUAUUACACCUAUUUAUAGUUAAGGAAACUGAGUGCAGAGACAUUAAAUAUUUUGCCAAGUCUGAGAACUAGUAAGUGAUGUGGCUGGACUCAAACCAGAUCUGUCUGAGUCUUAGGCUUCUCAUGCUUAUGUGAUACUCAUAUGCCAUAGGGGUUAGGAAGAAGGGAGGAAAAUGUAAAAUUUAGCUACAUUAAUAUUAAAAUUUUAUAAUAUUUCUACUGGAUUAUAUUCCUAUCACAGCUCACCUGAAGUAUCAUGUCAAAUUUAGGACCAAAACUUAAAGACACAGACUUGAAGAGUUAGGAGGUAUUGGCUCCCACUACUUCUAGCUAUGUGACCUAUAAGAAUCUCAAGUUCUCCAUGGCAAAGUGAGAAAAAUAUCUACUUUACAGAGUUGAUGUGAAGACUGAAGAUAAUGUGUAUGAGGGGAAAAAUACAGUGUCUGGCAUACAGCAAACAGAAAAGGCACUAAAAAUAUGGCAGCCAAUAUAUUUAUGACUCUUAUUCUGAGAGGAUGACGACUAGGGUAUUGAUCAUGCUUUCUGAACAUUAGAAUGAGAUGUGAAUUCACACUUUCUAAGGGAGUGGUUUCAUAACUGCUUUGCAUUCUGCUACAAAUUACAAUUCAUACCAAGUUUAAGGUUGAGCUCUUCUGAGGCAAACAAGAUAAAUCUUUUAAAUCUAGUAAUUUCACACUCCCCAGAGAACUAAGAGGGACUCUCUCCAGUCUCUUGUCAAAAUUAUCACUGAAAAAACAGUCAGUGGGAAAGGAGUCCCAGUGGCUGCUGAUAUGUUGCCAAGUCCAACACCCGUAUCUCUUCAAAGGUCUAGCCCAUAAAGAAAUAUCACUUUGUCUUGACUGACAGCAUUUAUCUUGGAUUUCAAAGUAUCAAAGCACUGUUGGUGCCCAAGAUGUUUUGUUAAAUGAUACUAAUGUGUUUAAUGAUCUACAUUUGAAAGGCUGUAUUUCUGAAGCUGAUAAACUCCCCCAAACCCUACUAGUGAAGACCAUUUUCAGUAUAUAAAUGCCAUCUGCAUUCAAAAAACACCCAUUAUUCACAUCCUGCAGAAGCAUUCAUAGCCUAAAGCCCACUCACAGAGGAUAGGGGGUGGAGGCCCUCCUGUAGAUGGAGACAACUAAGAAGUCCUUAGAAACACAGGAAAACUACCAUCCAGCUCAUCCUUACCUCUAGAGCCUAAAUGAGUUCUGGGGCAGAAAAACAGAACUGUAAAAUAGAAGCCAGUCUUCCUCCUUCUCUUUCUACUGUCACCAUAGAAACCAGUAUGUUUCUGUGCACAGUUUUUCCACGGGACUAUCCUUGCCUCAGAUUCUACCAGCCAAAAGUCCCAGACACCAAUUCUUCCAUGAAAUCUGCUUCUUUUCUACUAAGAUCAUAUCUAUCAGACCUAAAAUCUGGUCUGUUGAAUCAGCAAAGUAUUUCCAAAGAAGUGAGACUGGUAUCAUGAGUGGUUAAGAGAAGUCACUAAAUAGCAUUGAAUCACAGGGGUCUUUGCAGAUUGAAUUAAAGAACAAAGAUGAGAUCCUCUUGGAGUAUCUGUGAGGGCCUUAACACCAAUGUCAAGUGUCCUUAUAAGAGAUACACAGAGAACAGAUAGAAAAGAAGGAGGCAAUGUGACCAGAGGCAGAGAUUGAAGUGAUGGAGCCACAAGCCAAGCAAUGUCUGGAACUACCAGAAGCUCGAAGAGGCAAGGAACAGAGACUCCUCAAGAGCCUUCAAAGAAGCAGGCCCUUGACAACACCUUGAUUUUGAACUUUUAGGCUCCAGAACCAUGAGGAAAUAAAUUGCUAUUGUUUAUGCCA